GUUCCAAUACUUACUUGUUGGCUCCACCACAAGUCCUUUUUACCCAUACCCCCCUCUAAAUGUGACCAUGCAACAAAAACAAUAAAUCCCAUCACACUCAUUGUCGACAUAUUUGUCAACGAAUAAGUGUGCGUUUCGGCUUUCCUAUUACUUAUGCUUGACAGUUGAAUCGAUUCGAGCAGUUUGAGAAUGAGGCAAAACAUCAUACAGCCCUGUUGCACCGAAACUCUCCCACAGAUGGUGCUGUGGUACAACAGGCUGGGCAAACAGAUAUGCAAAAACAUAAAAACAUGGUGAGUUAUGCGAAACGAGGCUUCCUAUAUAAGAAAGCCAGUUUCUUAAGAAAUUCUCUCUUUCUGCUGUUGAUCCUCAAACGGAAUCGUAGUGCGCGCGUGUGUAGUGUUUUAAAUCGGCAAGGUUAGAAUUCAAUCAAAACCUUAUUUGGUGAAAUGUUAAUUACUUUGUGCUGUGUAUUUUUCAAUAAUUUAGGGUCAGCAAAAUCGCCAUACGUUGCAUCAUUGUAUCAAAGCAACUUUGUGAGCCCACAGUCUAAAAAAUCAUGAAGAACACAAUGUGAAUACCGAACAUAUCUGUAACAUAAAACGACAAGUGAAACAAAAACAGAAAAAGGUCCGUGUAAAAGGGCCUUUUUUCUUUCUAUUAUUUUCCGAGUGUUGCAUCAUUGCUGUACCCUGAAUGGACUUCCCGGAAGGUCCGCGUCCGGUGAAUGCAUCGUGCCAAAAUCGUGGUCAUCGUUUAGAUUUCUGGUGCAGUACGAACCGUCUCUCGACUUGGGUGACGCAAUCCAUCCCGACAGCCUGUUGUUCUUCAUUGUCAGGCCGCCAUCUUCUAAAGAUCGUCGAGCACCGAAAUCGGCAGCGCACGCCAUCGUUCAUGAAUGGACUCACAUUACCGUCGAUCAACAAGAAAGGACACUGACUUGCUACGUCACCGUAAGCACAGACCGGACAAAUAGCAAGCCCUUGGUCAUCGCAAUCCCCGAUAGCCCCCCCCUUUAUGAUGGGCUGUCGAUAUACAAAACCACCACCUAGGAUUCGGAUCCGAAAACAAGAACUAAACAUGCAAGUACCCAUUAUGUAACGUCACUAAUAAAAUUGUUAAAUGUUAAACCUC